rnacentral:lncRNA from 1 species
CGCUUACCAUCAACAAAGAGUCAAAGUGGAGUAAAGAUGUUUUCAGAUAAGUAAAGUCUUCAGAAAGUAGUUUCUCUGCACUGAUUCUUGAGAUACUUGAGAGUGUGUUCCUCCAAAAUGAGGAAAUAAACAAGAAAUGGGGAAAUGCAAGAUCCAAGAAACAGGAUUUCCAACGCAGGAGAGGAGUGGAAGGACUAUCCAGAAGGACUGAGGGGAAAUGCCAGAGAGACACUGUGUAGCACAUCUAGGAAGCAUCCAGUCCAGAUGAGAGCAGGAACCCAGAGGGCUCCAGAAGUGUCUCCAGAAAAACUUGAAACAGAGAGCACUUGACAUGUUUGAACCUAAGUUCUCAGAGAAGACUCAGCCCUUAAGUGAAGUCUAGAGGAUGCUUGUCCUUGGAAGCCAGCCAUUGUGCUGCAAGAAAGACUGGGUUACACAGAGAGGCCCAUGUGGAGAGAAACUGAGGCCCCUAGCCAUCAGCCCCAGCUGAGCUCCCUGCCGACAUGGAGCAUCAACUUAUUAGCCAGUGAACAAUCAUGAGAAAGUUCUAAAAGUUGAGCUCCGCAUGUUCAAAUGCCAGCAUUUGCCCAGGACCUCAUCCAAGACAAAGCCUACCACUAUCACAGGGCGGAGGAAGUGCACAAGGUCUUGGGUUCAUGCCAGAAUCAGAGUAAGGGAGCCUAUUUUCAACCGAGGAUCUUCCUCUGGCCUCUGAAGUCUGACCUAGACGAGCUGGAGAGCCCCAGGCAGAACUGUCUGCAGACCUCACCUCAGCUACCCCAGACAGUGGCCCCAGAGUGCAGGACACAGCUUGAAGGGACUUGUGUUGGCCAGAAGUGUCUGUUCUACAUGGACUUCCAGGGACAGCUAUAUGGAUGGAGAUAUCUCAUCUUGGCACUAUCAGAAAGAACAAAAAAAGAGGAAGGAAGACCAGUAAAGGAAAAGAUAUUGUCAGAAGAAUGGGAGUGGAAACGUUGGAUAAAGCACUAUCUCACACUGGAAAGGCUCAGAAGGAAGACACAAACCUCUAGGACCAGAGUGGGUGGAAUGAGAGAGAUAGAUGGUUUUAGAAAAGAUAACUAACGAGUCUCUGAUAACUCUCAUUUUCUGGGCCUUGGUGAACUUUGCCUAAGCUUCAACUAAAUGGAAAUAUAAAUAGCUGAGAAAGAAGCCAGUAGAUAGGAACUGACAUAAUGGACUGUAUUGACUCUCUGAGAGAUAUAAGGGACCUUCUUAAAAGCAUAAUAUUUUACCUGAUCAUUUGUCAGGCUUCCUCUGGGUGAGUGAGCUCCUUUGGGGAAGCAACUUACUCCUGAUACUUCUGAUGCCACCCCAGUGAAACAAUUUCUUGGGUUCAAAAUUAGUGUAUGACAAAGGUUCUCACCAAAGUCCUCCAUUCUCUCCUAAUACUUCAUCUCCUAAGAGAAGAGAAAUCUAGAGAACAGGAAAAAGACGACAUGAUCAAUGGAUAUAAAGAUCCCAAAGCAUAUAAGAAGCUGCCUUUGGUUGGAAACAUACCAGAUACAUCUAGCGACAUGACUAAAGUGGUUGAUCAUGGAAACCUAUGAAGAAGGAGGACACAGUGUUUUGGAAAAUAAUUAAUUCUGAGGUCAUAUUCCUAUAUAGGAGUUAAUGGAGUUAAUUUUGUGGAUGGGAGUUAAAUGAUUUCAAGGUAAUUCUGCAUAUGUAAUAGAAGUCUCGAAGUCUGAGCUGAUGAUCACGUUUUUCAGCGAGAACAUAAGAUGACUGAUCAUGUAGACAGUUUUUUCUGGCUCAGAGAAGACAUAGAACUAUGACUCAUGCUUUCAUUUAGACUAUGGCCUCCCCGUGGAUAAGAACAAUUCCAUACAAAUCCAUCUGUACCCAAGAGAGAGAAAAAUCUACAAAAAUGUCGAGUCGUUUUUUUCUUUCACUUUCCUGACAUUUAGUCAUUAUUUUAGGUAGGCAGAGGGGCUGGUGGCUAUUUGCUAUUAAAAUACUUUCAAUACACAAAUUCCCAUAAGUUGACUCAAGAUCUCAGUUCUGGGUUCCAGGUGACCGGCUGUUCAUGAAAAUUUACCAGUUCUAAAUCCUACCCAUCCUCUAAGAUUCAACUCAGGCUUUGCUUCCCCUUCAAGAUUGAGUCCAGCACCAAUCUUGACAAAUAUAAUCACAUCCUCUCUUUUCAUUCUCACUUCCAAAUCCCCAAAUAAAGGCCAAUUUUCUUGCUCUUCCCUGCACUCAAUUUACCAUUUCUGCCUCCAUUUCUGCCUACACUCUUUUCCCCACCUCUGUCCCUCUCUAAAUUCUACCUAUGCUCCAAGGCUUGGUUCAGGGAAUGGCUCUUCGAUGGGGCUUUCUCCAACAAUGUGUCAAACUAACCCCCUCAUUCUUCCAAAUGUCACAGCACUAUGUCAGCUGUACAGGUUAGCCCUCUGUUCUUCAUUUCCAGGUGUUCAUGUUUUGUCUCUUCAGAUUGACCGCAGAUGAAUCUGGAUUUUGAUAUCAGACAGAUAGCCCUCUUCUACUUAGUAGUUUUAUGACCUUGAGCAAACGAUGCCUCAGUUUCCACUCUAUAAAAUGUGGAUAAUGUAACACUUACCUCAGAAAGUUACAGUGAAAAUUGAUUAAAGGAACUGGCCACUAAAUGUUAGAUAUUAUUAACGUUAUACAGUGCCUAAUGCAGGGAUGUCUGGCUCAGUGUCACAGUAGUCUGGCCUCACAGUGCAAAAUGAAGCUCCUAACUAUGAUGACCUUUCUCUCCAGCAUCUCAUCUAAUCUAUGAACCUUCUGUAACCUUCUCAAAGCUCAUAGUGAAAGAAAGUCUCUUUAUAUACAUCACACCCACUUAUUUGUAUGUAAUACAGAUACCCAUAUACGUCUCCCUGCUUUCUGAAAUUAAAUGUUUAAAAUGAAAUUCAAGUCAUCAAACAAAAUGAAACUGGCUGGCUCCUGAGGAAUAUGGGCACAUCACUGUGGCAAUUCCUUGCACCUACUGCAAGUACCACUUGGGCAGCUUCCCGAGUUAUAAUCCUGGAGAUGUUGUGACUCUCCUUACCCAUCACACGGAGAUUGGAAACAUAAAUCUUUACUUGUUCAGGUCUGGCUUUAUUUGUAGGCAGCCUAGGAGAUGUGUAUUGCAGCUUCUGUCCAAAACACCUGCCUCGGUUGCCUGUGGAGGUGACUUACGUUAUUGCUAUGGGAGACUUACUCCUCUGGGAUAGGGCUGCAAGUAACUUUAUCAAAGAGGAACCACCUAUGGUGCUGUUAUGGACUAACUUGUGUCCCCCCAAAGUUCAUAUGUUGAAGCCCUAACAUCCAAUGUGCUAUAUUUGGAGAUAAGGACUUUAGAGAGUUAAUUAAGGUGAAAUGAGGUCACAAGAGUGGGGCCUAAUCUAAUAGGGCUGGUGUCCUUCUAAGAAGAGACAGACACCAGGGAUGCCUGUGCACAGAGAAAAUUUAGCCAUACAAGGACACUGAAAGAAGGUGGACUUCUGCAAGCUAAGGAAAAAGGCCUCUGGAAAAACCCUGCUGCCGGCACCUUCAUCUUGGACUUCCAGGCUCCAGAACUCUGAGAAAACAAAUUUUUGUUGUUUAACCCACCCAUUCUGUGGUAUGUAUUUUGUUAUGGCAGCCCUAGCUGACUCAUACAGGUGCAAAUCCCACAAAAUACAAAUUCUCCUUGUCAACAGGAAUGUCCCCAAAUAGACCAAUGAGUGAGACCCCUGAUAGUGACAAAGGAGAGCAGAAAAUAGAAGUGGGACUCAAAACAGGCCAGUUUAGCCAGAAAAAGGGUAGUGAGAGUAGAUGGGGAAGAAUGUUUCAGCAUAGAGUGCUACCAAGGGAAGGCAGGUAAGAACAUGGUGCUGGAGUGGGCAGCCCUGGGCAGCUCUGGCUGGGAGGCACUGUGGGGCUUCUGCAAUGACAGAGUCAGAGGCGGUAGGCUCCAGACACCCAUUUCUCUUCCAGCUUACCCUGGCCUUGGCAACGUGGUACCAAGCGACUAGAGUCCCACUGGGCUGCUUCCCCCUCACUGUGACUCUUACGUCCCAAAGUUCUUGUUACUGAAGCCCAAUUUCCAGGAACUGGCUCUGAUCUGAUUCAUGGGCUGCACAUAAGCUGCACAUUUCAGAUGUGUGAUGUGGUCCCAAUCUCGUCUUCCGUGGGUACCUCUGAAGUUUGGUGCUGCAUUCAGAGGGCGAGGGGUGGAGCCAAACUGUGUUGGCUCGUCUUCCACAGCUUGGAAUUUCCUAGCUAUGUGACCCUGGGGAAGUUACUUAACUCCUCCAUGUUCUCAGUUUCUUCAUCACAGGCUCGUUGUGAAGGUUAAAUACAUCAAUACAUGUAAACUGCUUUGAACCUUGCCAGGUACACAAAAUGCCAAAUUAACAUCGACUGUUAUUAUGCUUCAGCCACAUUGGCCUCCUGUUACCUACAAUACACCAUACUCCUCUCUACCUCAGAACUUUCACACAUGUGACUCCUCUCUACCUGGAAUCUUCCUUGCUCAUUCUUUUCCUUCAGGUCCCAAGUUAAACGGCACUUUGUCAGGGAGGCCAUUCCUGACCCAUCCAAGUUCCAGGUUAAGUCUCUUCUAAUACGUUCCUGUAACUCCCUGCAUAUCAGCCCAAUACUAAUCACAUUUGCAAUUUCUUGUUCAAUGACCAUCUUUCAGGCUAGACUACACACUCCAAAGGUAAGAAGGGGAUGCAUUUGUCUUAUUCAUUCUUGGACACCCAACACCCAGCACAGAGAUUACAAAUAAAUAUUUACAGGGUAAAUGAACCAACGGACUGUAAAGAGGGAAUUGGAGAAGGUUCGUGGAGGUGACAGUCCCAGACUUUGGGACAAGGUUACAUCCAAUAAUAAAAUUAAAAGACACAAAAUAAAGUAGAUUAGAUUAGCCACCUGGAGACCAGACAGCAAAUGAGUGGUUAGGGAGAUGGAGAAACAUCUAAGGCCCAGACAGGUUCGCCAGGAUGUACUGGCCUUUAGCGUUAGUUCUGCAAAACAAGGGAGCAGAAAGCUCAGCGGUGCAUUGAAUAAUAUUUUUGCCACCUGUAAGAAAUCAUCAUGGCAUGUAUCCCCAAAGCCUCCCUCUCCAAAGGGAGCAGAGGAUCCAAGUUGCCUGGAUAAUGUUAGUAACGCCUCCUUUUGGUACAUGCCUGAAGAACAGUGGUUCUCCCAUGAUGUUGCUUUUGCUCACUUCUUUAUUUGGCUGAGGGUGGGAGGAGCCAAGUAGGUUAGCAACACAUGCCCAAGAAGGAGGAGAGAGGAAAAGAUGUGUUCAUGGCUAGCACACAGCCCCUUCCUUCCCCUAAUCCUCCUUCAGAGUAGAACAUAGCUCAGCAUUAAAUAUUAAAUAAGUGAACUUGCUCAGUGCUCCAAUCACCCACAGCACAGCUUCUACAACACACUCACACAUUUCGAAGCCUCCUAAUUAACCAGAGGAAGCUAGAACUUCAUGGCGUUGUAGACAGCUCUAACGAGCUUGUUUUACAGGAGUUAAAGAAAUGUGUUGAUUGGAAAGUCGGGAGCACUAACGAUAAAAGACAAUGGACCCAAUACAUGGAGGCCAUUCUGUCUGUCCUGGAAGGAGAAAGAAGUUAGGGAAGUAAAGUUGGUCUACUGGGAGACUGGUGCCUUUCUCCAGAAUGACAGCCUCAAAACUGACUUCAUCGAACUGUCUUUACAGACUCUUAUUUGGGCAGAUCAGGAAGGUCCCUACACCUGCGUUCUAGCUUUGGUUUCUCAGACUCUGCCAGGUGGGACAGGUCCUGAGGAGCGAUGGGACGAGGAGUGCAGGGAGAAAGGGAGCAGAGAGGCCUGUGACAGCCUUCAUGCCCGUGCAGAGAGGAGAGAAUCCGUCCCCCUUGUUUCUUCACAGUGGGAAAGAAGGGAGAAAGAUCUGCAAAUUAAUCCAUUGUGACAACCUUUGUGAAGAACCUCACUGUUUGAUCUUGAAAAGAUUUCAUAAUUCUUUUGAUGGCUUUGAGAAGAGAAGGGGUAAAAAGUUAACUUCCUUUUGGAUUCUCUUAUCAAGAGUAAAUAAAGUUCAACUUUGCAUGUUCUCUAGUUAGCAAGCUCCCCUUCCUGGGACCCAGAGAUCAAGUUUGUGAUUGAGAGAAUUCAAUAAACAUGAGGAAAUGUGACCCAUUUGGGAACAAAGAUCCCAAUGUGCUCAUCUCCAAAGGGAAUCUGACUCUCCCCUGAAACUGUCAUAAGCCUCGGCCAGAGAAAUAUUCCCACCUCUGCAGGCAGGCGCUGAGCAGUUGGGUGAGCCGGGCCUGACCCUAGGAUUGCAGUAUGCUUCCCUUUCCAAGAAAAUGACCUGGGCAGGAAGACGAGAUAAAUGAAGCCCCCGAUGAAUGAGCAAAGGGAAGUUAGCUGGCUUUCCAAACUGGGUUCUGCCAGUGUCCCUCUAAGUGACCUUGUCUAAAUUAUAUCUUCUUUCUAGGCCUCAGGUUCUCAUUCUGUACAAUGGGAUAACAACUUCACUCUUACCUUACUCACUGGUUCAGCAUUCAAGAUGCCAACAUUUCACCUGCCAUCAAGCUACACAGCUGCAAGCUACCAGCUUCUAAACAGAGGGCUCUGGCCUUCGGUCCCAGGUGGUACAGUAUCAAAUGACUGGUAUUUCCACUUGGUGCUUGCCUGAAAAAGGAAGUAAACUGGGGCUGGCGCCAUGGCGUAGUGGUUAAGUUCGUGCACUCUGCUUUGGUGGCCCACGGUUCACAAGUUCUGAUCCUGGGCAUGGACCUAGCACUGCUUAUCAAGCCACGCUGUGGCAGCAUCCCACAUAAAGCAGAGGAAGACUGGCACAGAUAUUAGCUCAGCCACAAUCUUCCUCAUGAAAAAAAGGAAGUAAACUUUUUAUUCAAAUAGCCUAUAAAAAGACAAAAUAUUUCCAAUAAAAACUGUAAAAAUCUUUUAAAUUUUAUCCUCG